rnacentral:rRNA from 1 species
UACGGAGGGGCUAGCGUUGUUCGGAAUUACUGGGCGUAAAGCGCACGUAGGCGGCUUUGCAAGUUAGAGGUGAAAGCCCGGGGCUCAACUCCGGAAUUGCCUUUAAAACUGCAUCGCUAGAAUUGUGGAGAGGUAAGUGGAAUUCCGAGUGUAGAGGUGAAAUUCGUAGAUAUUGGAAGAACACCAGUGGCGAAGGCGACUUACUGGACACAUAUUGACGCUGAGGUGCGAAAGCGUGGGGAGCAAACAGG